UUGAACGCUGGCGGAAUGCUUUACACAUGCAAGUCGAGCGGCAGCGCGGGGCAACCUGGCGGCGAGCGGCGAACGGGUGAGUAACAUAUCGGAACGUACCUAUUUGAGGGGGAUAACGCAGCGAAAGUUGUGCUAAUACCGCAUAAGACCUGAGGGUGAAAGUGGGGGACCGCAAGGCCUCACGCGAAUAGAGCGGCCGAUAUCUGAUUAGCUAGUUGGUAGGGUAAAGGCCUACCAAGGCGACGAUCAGUAGCUGGUCUGAGAGGACGACCAGCCACACUGGGACUGAGACACGGCCCAGACUCCUACGGGAGGCAGCAGUGGGGAAUUUUGGACAAUGGGGGCAACCCUGAUCCAGCCAUUCCGCGUGAGUGAAGAAGGCCUUCGGGUUGUAAAGCCCUUUCGACGGGGAGGAAGGCACCGGCGCGAAUAGCGUUGGUGAUUGACGUAACCUGGAGAAGAAGCACCGGCUAACUCCGU
rnacentral:rRNA from 1 species